CGGGGUGCAGCAGGCGCGAAAACUCUACAAUGCAGGCAACUGCGAUAGGGGAACAUCGAGUGAUCCUCAUAUUGGGGGUCUGUCCACCCGCCUAAAAAGCGGGUGUUAGCAAGGGCCGGGCAAGACCGGUGCCAGCCGCCGCGGUAAUACCGGCGGCUCGAGUGGUGGCCGAUAUUAUUGAGUCUAAAGGGUCCGUAGCCGGCUUUGCAAGUCUCUCGGGAAAUCCAGCGGCUUAACCGUUGGUCGUCCGGGGGGUACUACAUUGCUUGGGACUGGGAGAGGUAGGAGGUACUCAGGGGGUAGGAGUGAAAUCCUGUAAUCCUUUGGGGACCACCGGUGGCGAAGGCGUCCUACCAGAACAGGUCCGACGGUGAGGGACGAAAGCUAGGGGCACGAACCGGAUUAGAUACCCGGGUAGUCCUAGCCGUAAACGAUGCUCGCUAGGUGUCACAACAGUCGUGAACUGUUGUGGUGCCGUAGGGAAGCCGUGAAGCGAGCCACUUGGGAAGUACGACCGCAAGGUUGAAACUUAAAGGAAUUGGCGGGGGAGCACAAGGGCGAAUNGCG
rnacentral:rRNA from 1 species